GACGGAGGGGGCAAGCGUUGUCCGGAAUCACUGGGCGUAAAGCGCACGUAGGCGGGACGGUGCGUCGGUGCUGAAAGCGCCAGGCUUAACCUGGCGAGGCGUGCCGAUACGACCGACCUCGAGGCAGACAGAGGGUGGCGGAAUUCCGGGUGUAGUGGUGAAAUGCGUAGAGAUCCGGAGGAAUGCCGGUGGCGCAAGCGGCCACCUGGGUCUGACCUGACGCUGAGGUGCGAAAGCGUGGGGAGCAAACCGG
rnacentral:rRNA from 1 species